UGGGGAAUAUUGCACAAUGGGCGAAAGCCUGAUGCAGCGACGCCGCGUGAGGGAUGACGGCCUUCGGGUUGUAAACCUCUUUCAGUAGGGACGAAGCGCAAGUGACGGUACCUGCAGAAGAAGCACCGGCUAACUACGUGCCAGCAGCCGCGGUAAUACGUAGGGUGCGAGCGUUGUCCGGAAUUACUGGGCGUAAAGAGCUCGUAGGCGGUUUGUCACGUCGUCUGUGAAAUCCUAGGGCUUAACCCUGGACGUGCAGGCGAUACGGGCUGACUUGAGUACUACAGGGGAGACUGGAAUUUCUGGUGUAGCGGUGGAAUGCACAGAUAUCAGAAAGAACACCGAUGGCGAAGGCAGGUCUCUGGGUAGUAACUGACGCUGAGGAGCGAAAGCAUGGGUAGCGAACAGG
rnacentral:rRNA from 1 species